rnacentral:ncRNA from 2 species
UAAGGAUAAAUAGAAGCAAGUGACCUGAGUUCAAAUCAGGUUAAAGGGAAACCGGUUAGAAUCCGGUGCGGUGCCGCCACUGUAAAGGCGAGUUUUCUUCCAUCAGGCCACUGGCCCCAAAGGCUGGGAAGGCGGAAGAAAACGAUGAACCUAAGCCAGUAGACCUGCUUGUUUCGUUUAGCCACU